rnacentral:pre_miRNA from 1 species
CAAAUACUCCCUCCGUCCGAAAAUACUUGUCAUCAAAAUGGAUAAAAGGAGAUGUAUGUAGAACUAAAAUACAUCUAGAUACAUCCCCUUUUAUCCAUUUUGAUGACAAGUAUUUUCGGACGGAGGGAGUAAGAA